rnacentral:rRNA from 1 species
GAUGAACGCUGACAGAAUGCUUAACACAUGCAAGUCAACUUGAACUUCGGUUUGGGUGGCGGACGGGUGAGUAACGCGUAAAGAACUUGCCUCACAGCUAGGGACAACAUUUGGAAACGAAUGCUAAUACCUGAUAUUAUGAUUAUAUGGCAUCGUAUAAUUAUGAAAGCUAUAUGCGCUGUGAGAGAGCUUUGCGUCCCAUUAGCUAGUUGGAGAGGUAACAGCUCACCAAGGCGAUGAUGGGUAGCCGGCCUGAGAGGGUGAUCGGCCACAAGGGGACUGAGACACGACCCUUACUCCUACGGGAGGCAGCAGUGGGGAAUAUUGGACAAUGGACCGAGAGUCUGAUCCAGCAAUUCUGUGUGCACGAUGAAGUUUUUCGGAAUGUAAAGUGCUUUCAGUUGGGAAGAAAAAAAUGACGGUACCAACAGAAGAAGUGACGGCUAAAUACGUG